rnacentral:lncRNA from 1 species
GGCAUGCCCUGGGACUCAGUGGCCAUGAACAGGAGAUAUCUCCUGGAGGGAGGAUGGGCUGUGGGAAGAUAAAGAUGAUUGCCCAGCUGGUUUAAAGAUGCCCAUGAGCAGAGGAUAUCUCCCACAGAGAUAAGAAUCACCGCCCUGCCUCAUUUCAGCAGAUGGUAGAGCACAGACUUUGGGAAACAUCUUUACAUUGUAACCCAGGACAGUGUGUCUGUGUGUGUCCGUGUGUGUGUGUGUGUCGCUGUGUGUGUCUGUGUGUCCGUGUGUCUCUGAGUGUGUGUGUGUGUGUGUGUCCGUGUUUCUGUGUGUCCAUGCGCCCGUGUGUGUCCCUGUGUCCGUGUGUCCGUGUGUCCAUGUAUCCGUAUGUCUGUGUGUUUGUGUGUCUGUGUCUGUGUGUCCGUGUGUCCCUGUGUCCAUGUGCCCGUGUGUGUCCAUGUCCAUGUGUCUGUGUGUCCAUGUGUCCCUAUGUCCGUGUGUCUGUGUGUCUGUGUGUGUCCGUGUGUCCGUGUGUCUCUGAGUGUGUGUGUGUGUGUGUCCGUGUUUCUGUGUGUCCAUGCGCCCGUGUGUGUCCCUGUGUCCGUGUGUCCAUGUAUCCGUAUGUCUGUGUGUUUGUGUGUCUGUGUCUGUGUGUCCGUGUGUCCCUGUGUCCAUGUGCCCGUGUGUGUCCAUGUCCAUGUGUCUGUGUGUCCAUGUGUCCCUAUGUCCGUGUGUCUGUGUGUCUGUGUGUGUCCGUGUGUCCGUGUGUCUCUGAGUGUGUGUGUGUGUGUGUCCGUGUUUCUGUGUGUCCAUGCGCCCGUGUGUGUCCCUGUGUCCGUGUGUCCAUGUAUCCGUAUGUCUGUGUGUCUGUGUGUCUGUGUCUGUGUGUCCGUGUGUCCCUGUGUCCAUGUGCCCGUGUGUGUCCAUGUCCAUGUGUCUGUGUGUCCGUGUGUCCGUGUGUCCCCACGUUCCGAGCCGGAUCAGGAUCAGGAGCAGAUGGUGCUGCACAGAUGGCGCAGGAGGGGCCAGGAGCGGUGACAGGAGCGGGGACAGGAGCAGGGACAGGACGGGGACAGGAGCGGGGACAGGAGGGGGGGGGGGGGGGGGGGGGGGGGGGGGGGGGGGGGGGGGGGGGGGGGGGGGGGGGGGGGGGGGGGGGGG